CCUACGGGUGGCUGCAGUGGGGAAUAUUGGACAAUGGGCGCAAGCCUGAUCCAGCCAUGCCGCGUGAGUGAUGAAGGCCUUAGGGUUGUAAAGCUCUUUCACCCACGACGAUAAUGACGGUAGUGGGAGAAGAAGCCCCGGCUAACUUCGUGCCAGCAGCCGCGGUAAUACGAAGGGGGCUAGCGUUGUUCGGAAUCACUGGGCGUAAAGCGCGCGUAGGCGGACCGUUAAGUCGGAGGUGAAAGCCUGGAGCUCAACUCCAGAACUGCCUUCGAUACUGGCGGUCUCGAGUCCGGGAGAGGUGAGUGGAACUGCUAGUGUAGAGGUGAAAUUCGUAGAUAUUAGCAAGAACACCAGUGGCGAAGGCGGCUCACUGGCCCGGUACUGACGCUGAGGUGCGAAAGCGUGGGGAGCAAACAGGAUUAGAUACCCCUGUAGUC
rnacentral:rRNA from 1 species